UACGAAGGGGGCUAGCGUUGCUCGGAAUCACUGGGCGUAAAGGGUGCGUAGGCGGGUCUUAAGUCAGGGGUGAAAUCCUGGAGCUCAACUCCAGAACUGCCUUUGAUACUGAAGAUCUUGAGUUCGGGAGAGGUGAGUGGAACUGCGAGUGUAGAGGUGAAAUUCGUAGAUAUUCGCAAGAACACCAGUGGCGAAGGCGGCUCACUGGCCCGAUACUGACGCUGAGACGCGAAAGCGUGGGGAGCGAACAGG
rnacentral:rRNA from 1 species